UUUAAGUUGUGAUUGUUGAGAUACCUGGCGGCUUAAUCGGCAAAAUGUCAAUUUCACCAACCUCUCCGCAAGUUUUCUUUCAAUAUUACAAACGUGGACUAAGGCCGGAUCAGCCCCCUUCAAUCUAUCCAGAAAGCGCUGAUCAUUUGGCAAUUUCGGAAUUAAUUUUGUUCUGUGUGAUGAUUACACGUCUAUUGCUACCGACCCUUAUUGUGAAGGGAAAGGCAUAUAAUGUUAAAGUUCAAUCUCUUUGUUACAAUAUCCUUCAAAUGUUAUUGAAUACAUACAUAAUUGUUGGUGAUUAUUAUACCGGACACGUGGAUUUUAGUAGAAAGUCGAUUUUUGAAAAAUAUUCUCUCCAGGACUAUCAAGCUCAUAA
rnacentral:sRNA from 1 species